rnacentral:rRNA from 1 species
UACGGAGGGGUGCAAGCGUUAUCCGGAUUCACUGGGUUAAAGGGUGCGUAGGUGGGCCCGUAAGUCAGUGGUGAAAUCUCCGAGCUUAACUCGGAAACUGCCAUUGAUACUAUAGGUCUUGAAUUAUCGUGGAGGUUAGCGGAAUAUGGUCAUGUAGCGGUGAAAUGCUUAGAUAUGACAUAGAACACCGAUUGCGGAAGGCAGCUGGCUACAGGUAUAUUGACACUGAAGGCACGGAAAGCGAUGGG